AUUGCUUCUAAGCCUAAGAUCAAGUGUAGUAUCUGUUCUUAUCAGUGUAAUAUCUGAUACGCUCCCUCUCUGGGGACCAUAUCUAUUAAAUGGAUUUUUGAGAACGGGGGCCGAUUUCAAAGCUUGCUUCUGUCGCCCUAUGCAUUGACCCGAUAUGGCAUUAUCUGUCUAUAUAUAUAUAUAUAUA